rnacentral:rRNA from 1 species
AUGUUGUGUGCAGGGCUGAAUCGCUGCGGUAAGAGCUGCCGGCUGCGGUGGCUCAACUACCUCCGGCCGGGGAUCAAGAGAGGCAACAUCUCCAACGACGAAGAGGAGCUCAUCGUCAGGCUCCACGGGCUCCUAGGCAACAGGUGCACAUCUAUGUUGUUUUCCUUUCAUUUGCAUCGUGCACAUUUUCCGUUGUGUAGAUGA